GGGAAUUUGAAAGUCUUAUAACAAAAUUAGGAAAAUAGCUUAGAUUUUUUUCAAAAUUAACAAAGCAGUCUGUUGACCCAAAAAAAAAAAAAAAAAGUAAAAGUAAGUGAAGAGUGAUAUCGCUCCAGCUUGUAUAGUUUGUUAACAAAACAGUCUAAAACUUGUGCAAUUUUUUUUUUUUUUAUCAUCCGAAAUUAAUUAUAGCUGAAAUGAGCAAUUCCUAAUAAAUGUUGUUUACAUAAGUGAUAUGAUGUUGUUUACAUAAGUGAUAUGAUGUUGUUGGACACAAAUUUUUUGUGUCAAGCGCUUUAACAUUUGCACUUUUUCAUUAAU
rnacentral:sRNA from 1 species